rnacentral:rRNA from 1 species
UACGGAGGGGACUAGCGUUGUUCGGAAUUACUGGGCGUAAAGCGUGCGCAGGCGGCUUACUAAGACAGGUGUGAAAGCCCCGAGCUUAACUUGGGAAUGGCGCUUGUGACUGGUAGGCUGGAGUGUGGCAGAGGGAGGUGGAAUUCCACGUGUAGCAGUGAAAUGCGUAGAGAUGUGGAGGAACACCGAUGGCGAAGGCAGCCUCCUGGGCCAGCACUGACGCUCAUGCACGAAAGCGUGGGGAGCAAACAGG